AAAGUCGUAACAAGGUUUCCGUAGGUGAACCUGCGGAAGGAUCAUUAAUGAAAUGCCGUUGGCGGGGGGGAGUGCCGCGGCCUCGGCCUGCGCCGCCCGCCCCCUUUCCAUCCAUAUCCAUCAUCCCUGUGAACGGUCCUGCCGGUGCAUGCACAUGCGUAGUCUAUGGUUGCGCGUAGUGUAUUGUUGCCGUGCAUGGUGGUGUGUGGUGGUGGUGCGAGCCGCCGCCGCCGCCCUUCUAUAUAAACACGUUAAUGAAUGUCUGUUGGAUUAUACACAAUGUAAAUACAACUUUUAGCAACGGAUCUCUUGGCUCUC
rnacentral:misc_RNA from 1 species